rnacentral:rRNA from 1 species
AACGAACGCUGGCGGCAUGCCUAACACAUGCAGGUCGAACGAGACCUUCGGGUCUAGUGGCGCACGGGUGCGUAACGCGUGGGAACCUGCCCUUAGGUUCGGAAUAACUCCCCGAAAGGGGUGCUAAUACCGGAUAAUGUCUUCGGACCAAAGAUUUAUCGCCUUUGGAUGGGCCCGCGUUGGAUUAGCUGGUUGGUAGGGUAAAAGCCUACCAAGGCGACGAUCCAUAGCUGGUCUGAGAGGAUGAUCAGCCACACUGGGACUGAGACACGGCCCAGACUCCUACGGGAGGCAGCAGUGGGGAAUAUUGGACAGUGGGCGAAAGCCUGAUCCAGCAAUGCCGCGUGAGUGAUGAAGGCCUUAGGGUUGUAAAGCUCUUUUACCCGGGAUGAUAAUGACAGUACCGGGAGAAUAAGCUCCGGCUAACUCCGUG